UACGUAGGGAGCAAGCGUUGUCCGGAAUCAUUGGGCGUAAAGCGCGCGUAGGCGGCCCUGUAAGUCCGUUGUGAAAGUCAAAGGCUCAACCUUUGAAAGCCGAUGGAUACUGCAGGGCUAGAGUCCGGAAGAGGCGAGUGGAAUUCCUGGUGUAGCGGUGGAAUGCGCAGAUAUCAGGAGGAACACCAAUAGCGAAGGCAGCUCGCUGGGACGGUACUGACGCUAAGGCGCGAAAGCUAGGGGAGCAAACAGG
rnacentral:rRNA from 1 species